GCCUGCGUAGCAGUCGCUUUAUUUUUUUAAAUUUUAUUUCAGGAUAUUUUUAUUUGAGGAUUUUUUAAUGCGAAAAAAAGAGCGGAGAAAUAUCCUGAAAUAAAAUUUAAAAAAAUAAAGCGACUGCUACGCAGGC